GGUUAAGUGACUAAGCGUACACGGUGGAUGCCUGGGCAGUCAGAGGCGAUGAAGGACGUACUAACUUGCGAUAAGCGCAGAUAAGGCAGUAAGAGCCGUUUGAGUCUGCGAUUUCCGAAUGGGGAAACCCAACUGCAUAAGCAGUUACUGUUAACUGAAUACAUAGGUUAACAGAGCAAACCGGGGGAACUGAAACAUCUAAGUACCCCGAGGAGAAGAAAUCAACCGAGAUUCCGGUAGUAGCGGCGAGCGAACCUGGAUUAGCCCUUAAGCACUCGGUGAAGUAGGUGAACAAGCUGGAAAGCUUGGCGAUACAGGGUGAUAGCCCCGUAACCGACGCUUCAUCGAGCG
rnacentral:rRNA from 1 species